CCGCUAGGUCCUUGUGAGACCCGCUCGAGUUCAUAAGCUGGCCCAAGUCCUGUCGCACUGCCGCCGCCAUCUUCGCUCCGGCUUCGGCCCCGCCCCCAACACAGGCGAAGAACGUCACUUUUUCCCGGAAGAGAGAAUACGAGAGCGAGCCUCCAGCACUCGGCCAGAAGGAUCAUCGAGAAGCCGGGAGAAGGCUAGAGUAUCUCUCUUCCUUCCUCCUCCCCCCGCCGGAAGUGGGGGGAACCGGAAGCCCUGGACAGGGACAGCCCCUCAGUGGAAGUCAAGUCUUGGGAGUUGGGAUCUCCUUAUUUUACAGGUUAUUUAUACCUUCUAAAUCCAAUUCUCCCUCUGCAACAAGAGAACUGUUCGGUUCUGCACACAUAUAUUGUAUCCAAGAUCUACUGUAACCUAUUUAACAUGUAUAAGACUGCUUGCCAUCUGGGGGAGGGGGUGGAGGAAGGGAGGGGAAAAAUCAGAACGGAAGUGAGUGCAAGGGAUAAUGGGUUCUGUCAAUAAAAAGUUAUUUAAAUUUAAAAAUAAAUAAAUAGAAAUAAAUAGAAAGAAAGAAAUGUUUAUGUUCAUACUUGUGACCCACUUUUAUCAUUGCUAAGAUUCUACCUCAAAGAAAUAAAGAGAAAAAUCUCAAGUUU